UCUUACGACUGAGCAAAGAAAGUGGUUUCUUGAGAUGGAAUCUAUUCCUGGUAAAGAUGCUGUGGA
rnacentral:pre_miRNA from 1 species